UACAGGGGGUGCAAACGUUGCUCGGAAUCAUUGGGCGUAAAGCGCACGUAGGCGGUCUGUUAUGUCGGAUGUGAAAGCCCUUGGCUCAACUGAGGAAGUGCAUCCGAAACUGGCAGGCUAGAGUACUAAAGAGGAUCGCGGAAUUCCCGGUGUAGAGGUGAAAUGCGCAGAUAUCAGGAAGAACACCAAUGGCGAAGGCAGCACUCUGGGACGUGACUGACGCUGAGACGCGAAAGCGUGGGGAGCAAACAGG
rnacentral:rRNA from 1 species